GCCUGGCUGGCUCAGUUGGUAAAGCAUGAGACUCUUGAACUCAGGGUUGUGGGUUUAAGGCCCACAUUGGGUG
rnacentral:tRNA from 1 species